rnacentral:rRNA from 1 species
UACGUAGGCAGCGAGCGUUGUUCGGAGUUACUGGGCGUAAAGGGUGUGUAGGCGGUCCUCUAAGUUUGGUGUGAAAUCUCCCGGCUCAACCGGGAGGGUGCGCCGAAAACUGGAGGGCUAGAGUGCGGGAAGGGAGAGUAGAAUUCCUGGUGUAGCGGUGAAAUGCGUAGAUAUCAGGAGGAAUACCGGUGGUGCAGACGGCUCUCUGGGCCGACUAACCUGCGCUGGAGGAGCGAAAGACGUGGGGAGCGAAACAGGG